GGGGACAGCUGCGCGGGGUAUGUACCACCAAAAGCCACUCCAAAGCUCCGGUUUCCGUGCUGGGUGCUGGGGUGUUUGUGUUUCCGAUGCUUUACUCGGAGAAGGCUCAAUGGUUCCGCCCUAUGAAACCUGCGAAGAUGGAGAAGCCAAAUUGGGUUCGAGGCAGUUACGGGUGCAGUGGCUCAUAGCCAGAGAUGAACUGUGUGCCGUGAGACAACAGUGUUGAACGAGGCUUGCACUCAUCCUUGGGUGUACACACGGUUGGCCAACACCAGAAGGGGGCUGCCAGCCCAGUCCUCUGUUCUGAAUCGAGUCACAUGACGGCAACGGUGUCAUCCUUUGAGCACGCCCUCACGCCCACGAAUCUUCAGCCUAUCUGGAAGAACCUUGGUUUCUAGUUGCUUGGCUUUUUUCAUAAAUGAGUCUCUCUGACGCUGAGAACGCUGGGAACUCAGAAAUGCAAUCAGUGUGAGAUCUGGAGCCACCUCAAGCCUCCUGCCUCCCUUCCUGUUCCCACUUUCCUUUCCAGGAGCCCAGCUAGGGGGUCUGUGGAGUGGAGUGGGGUUAGAGAAGUCACUAAAGUCGAGACCUGUUAAGCCUAAAGUCUGGAAAUGCAGGGAUUUGGCUGGGACAGUGCUGUAUCCAAGGCUCUAAGAACAAUGCUUGGUACCUAACAGGGGCUCAAUAAACAGCUGUUGAAUGGAUGAAUUAAUAUGCGAUCAUCUUCGGAUUCCUA
rnacentral:lncRNA from 1 species